rnacentral:rRNA from 1 species
UGAUAGGCUGGAGGUGGAAGCCCUGUGAGGGGUGGAGCUGACCAGUACUAAUAGCCCGUGCGUCUUGUUUCCC